AACAUCUGGGAGGCCUCGUCCAGCUCCACAUGCAGGUCCCGGACGCUGGGGCACUCUGGAGGCAGAAGGAGGAGCAGGCAGGGGGGUUAAUUAAUUCUACACCACGACAAUUCAGAGGGCUUUUACUUGUAUCACAGUCUUCCUACACUUCAGCUGAGGUGAGUGUGUGGGUGGUGUUGUUGGUGGUGGAGCUUCACCUGUGAGCAGCG